UUUGAUUUCCCUUCAAAGGAUGAAUAGAGAUUUCGUGAUUCACUCUAAUGUGAUUUCUUUUAUCUUUGAUUACAAACGUAAAUUGUUAAGUAUUUAUUGAAAUAAAUAAACGUGAUUAACUAAAGAGCUUUGCAUUAACAUAAAAACAAAAACAUUCAUGUAUCAUUUGCAUCUUUAAAAAAAUGAAUAAAAAUAAAAACU
rnacentral:lncRNA from 1 species